rnacentral:rRNA from 1 species
GGGCGGUUCGCCGCCGACGACGUCGCGAGAAGUCCACUGAACCUUAUCAUUUAGAGGAAGGAGAAGUCGUAACAAGGUUUCCGUAGGUGAACCUGCCGAAGGAUCAUUGUCGAAACCUGCCAUGCAGUAUGACCCGCGAACAAGUUUAUCCACUGCUGAAGGUGCCUCGCGCUCCCGAUGCGAGGCCCCGUGGGGGGCAAUGCUCCUUGCGGUGGCCACAAAACAAACCCCGGCGCGGAAUGCGCCAAGGAAAAUGAACAUACAAAAGAGAACCAUGCAAUCUCCUCGGAAAUGAUGCGUGAUUGUUAGGUGUAUCUCCUUUCGUAACCAAAACGACUCUCGGCAACGGAUAUCUCGGCUCUCGCAUCGAUGAAGAACGUAGCGAAAUGCGAUACUUGGUGUGAAUUGCAGAAUCCCGUGAACCAUCGAGUCUUUGAACGCAAGUUGCGCCCAAAGCCUUCGGGUUGAGGGCACGUCUGCCUGGGUGUCACGCAACGUCGCUCCCAAACACCCUAUUAAGGGAUGCAGAAUUUGGGGCGGAAUAUGGCCUCCCGUGAUAUUAUGAAUUGCGGUUGGCCCAAAUGUGAGACCUUGUUGGCCAGUGUCGUGGCAUUCGGUGGUUGAAAUACCCUCAAAACGCCUCGUUCAUUGCCCAAAGCAAUAAGGUUCUCAAUGACCCUCAAUGUAUUCAACGCGACCCCAGGUCAGGCAGGAUUACCCGCUGAGUUUAAGCAUAUCAAUAAGCGGAGGAAAAGAGACUUACAAGGAUUCCC